CAGAGUUGCAAAACUCCCAACCAUUGUGAGCCUACCUCACCGUUGCUUCGGCGGGUGGCCCGGGGCAACCCAGGCCGCGCCGGCCCCUCUCUUCGGGGGGCCCGGCAAGCCCGUCAGAGGACCGAAACCCUGUAAUUACUGGCCUCUCUGAGUAACUUAUACAAUAAGUCA
rnacentral:misc_RNA from 1 species